UCGGCUUGACAUUGUUGAAUUUGUGAAGUCAAUUUCACCUAAGAUUCUUAAUUAUGCGGAAGUGAAUACCACAAGUUGCUCGAGGUUCUGGUUGUGGACAAACGAUUAAGGCGGUAGUACGCAUAUGAGAUUGUCUUCACUUGUGUGUCCUCAACAAUUGGGUGGACGUGAGUGUGGCUACUACAUCAUGCGUUAUAUGUACGAAAUACUUGAACAUCACCAUAGCAGUGAGGAUCUU